rnacentral:rRNA from 1 species
UAAAAGUCGUAACAAGGUCUCCGUUGGUGAACCAGCGGAGGGGAUCAUUACC